CGUUUACUCGUGGAUCGCGUGUCACUCGAUGCCUGAUCCCGCCGCGGAUCGACUGCACCGGAGGACGCCGACACGGAUCUCUCUCCAACCCCUUCCGGAUAACACGGAUUUGCUAGUUUUCUCAGAGCCGGGUGAAGAUGAUCGGAAGGCGGAAUUAAUCGGAAUCGAUCGAGCAUAGCCGGGGGCAGAAGAACCGUGGUGGAUCCAGCGGGAAUUCAAGGACAAUUUAGAUCAAUGAAGGAUCGACGAGGAAGGUGGAGUUAAUCGUGGAUUCUUCAUCCCAGAAUUGAACAUGCAAAAAAUUCGGCUAUAGGUAUUGAUUGAAUUAACCCAGAAACUCGGGCGACUCAAAGAGGAACGUAAAGACGAUUUCAUUGAUAAGAGACAUCGGAGAAGAAUUCGGG